rnacentral:rRNA from 1 species
UACGGGGGGGGGCAAGCGUUGUUCGGAAUUACUGGGCGUAAAGGGCUCGUAGGUGGCCAACUAAGUCAGACGUGAAAUCCCUCGGCUUAACCGGGGAACUGCGUCUGAUACUGGAUGGCUUGAGUUUGGGAGAGGGACGCGGAAUUCCAGGUGUAGCGGUGAAAUGCGUAGAUAUCUGGAGGAACACGGUGACGAAGGCGGCAUCCUGGACCAACAACUGACGCUGAGAGCGAAAGCAUGGGGGAGCGAACAGG